rnacentral:rRNA from 1 species
ACUCACCACAACAUCACCCUGAGCACACCCAGUCUUAUCUGAUUUCAGAAGCUAAGCAGGAUCAGGUUGAGUUAGUACUUGGAAGGGAGACCACAAGGGAUCUUCAGAUACAGCUAGGA